AAAAAAAGCUCGCCAGCUCAAUAAAUUGAGGCUUUGGCGAUGGCAUUUUAAACAGUACAACAGCAAAUGAAUAAAAUUAAUUAGCAAUUUAGCACAGAGGAAAUGUGGUUAUGCAUGAUUAACUCUUCAUGACUAUAACCGGUAUAUAUGGCUCUCAGCAACACGGCCUAAUGACAUGAAAUUAAACUGCAAGAGAGGCAUUGACAUGAUGACGUGGAGCGGAGGUGAAAUGAUCUUUGUUUUGUGCACCUGAAGGAGGAGAGGAAUGUGAAAUGUGGAGAUAUUGAUCCAUUGACGGGAAGGAAAAGAAAAGCUGGCGUGGCAGCUCAUGAGUCAAAGGCAAUGGUUAUGCAGUACCCCUAACUACAAAUAGGUGGCAGAUGUUUCAUUGACAUGUUGGUAGAAAGCGAACUUUAUCCCUACCUGUUGAGGUGGUACCAGAAGUGGUCAUUGAUUGGCUGUUCAUAUGUGCCUGCAUAUGAGGGGGUGUGUAUGUUUCGUAGCUCCGCCCAUUCACAGGCGGACUUGUAGGCAGCAU